rnacentral:rRNA from 1 species
AACGAACGCUGGCGGCAGGCCUAACACAUGCAAGUCGAGCGAUCCCUUCGGGGAUAGCGGCGGACGGGUGAGUAACGCGUGGGAACGUACCCUUUGCUACGGAAUAGCCUCGGGAAACUGGGAGUAAUACCGUAUGUGCCCUUCGGGGAAAGAUUAUCGGCAAAGGAUCGGCCCGCGUUGGAUUAGGUAGUUGGUGGGGUAAUGGCCUACCAAGCCUACGAUCCAUAGCUGGUUUGAGAGGAUGAUCAGCCACACUGGGACUGAGACACGGCCCAGACUCCUACGGGAGGCAGCAGUGGGGAAUCUUAGACAAUGGGGGCAACCCUGAUCUAGCCAUGCCGCGUGAGUGAUGAAGGCCCUAGGGUUGUAAAGCUCUUUCAGCUGGGAAGAUAAUGACGGUACCAGCAGAAGAAGCCCCGGCUAACUCCGUG